AAGUUGGUAACUAGUAAAAAAUUUCACUUUUUUACUAGAGUCGGGUACCCGUACAUUGAACAUUUUGUAUGGAAAACAACACUUGGUGCACCAAACUUUGUACCGCGAAUAACUUUUUUGCCCGGCAUCGGAGCGCAUGGUCGUGGAACAACUUUUUGUAGCGCGUCACAAGACGCAUCUAAUUCUGAAGAAAGAUCGAGAAAAUGUUGAAAAUUGGCCGAGUUAUGGCAGGUGAAAGAAAAAGCUUAGGUCGCGAAUAACUUUUUUGCCCGACAUCGGAGCACAUGGUCGUGGAAGACUUUUAGCUUGCAUUUGUCGAGAUCUAUCCAAAUCACAAAGAAAAUCCAAAAUCGGUCGGUAAAUGACUGAGAUAUGGGCAAAAAUAGGUUGAAACGUGGCACCGGGGUUGAACGGGGUUGAAAUAGGUUGAAAUAGAGGUUUUUCGCGAAUAACUUUUGUGCCCUACGUCUGAGCACAUGGGUGUAGAAUACUUUUUGGUAGAAUUUCACGAGAUGUAACUAAAACAGAAGAAAUUUUGGAAAAAUGUUGAAAAUUCACCGAGUUACAUCGAAGAAUAGGUGCAAAUGUGAACAUUUUGUAUGGAAAACAACACUUGGUGCACCAAACUUUGUACCGCGAAUAACUUUUUUGCCCGGCAUCGGAGCGCAUGGUCGUGGAACAACUUUUUGUAGCGCGUCACGAGACGCAUCUAAUUCUGAAGAAAGAUCGAGAAAAUGUUGAAAAUUGGCCGAGUUAUGGCAGGUGAAAGAAAAAGCUUAGGUCGCGAAUAACUUUUUUGCCCGACAUCGGAGCACAUGGUCGUGGAAGACUUUUAGCUUGCAUUUGUCGAGAUCUAUCCAAAUCACAAAGAAAAUCCAAAAUCGGUCAGUAAAUGACUGAGAUAUGGGCAAAAAUAGGUUGAAACGUGGCACCGGGGUUGAACGGGGUUGAAAUAGGCACCUUACUCGGUGGACACAAAUCGGUACAUAAAACAGGUUUUUCGCGAAUAACUUUUGUGCCCUACGUCUGAGCACAUGGGUGUAGAAUACUUUUUGGUAGAAUUUCACGAGAUGUAACUAAAACAGAAGAAAUUUUGGAAAAAUGUUGAAAAUUCACCGAGUUACAUCGAAGAAUAGGUGCAAAUGUGAACAUUUUGCAUGGAAGACAACACUUGGUGCACCAAACUUUGUACCGCGAAUAACUUUUUUGCCCGGCAUCGGAGCGCAUGGUCGUGGAACAACUUUUUGUAGCGCGUCACGAGACGCAUCUAAUUCUGAAGAAAGAUCGAGAAAAUGUUGAAAAUUGGCCGAGUUAUGGCAGGUGAAAGAAAAAGCUUAGGUCGCGAAUAACUUUUUUGCCCGACAUCGGAGCACAUGGUCGUGGAAGACUUUUAGCUUGCAUUUGUCGAGAUCUAUCCAAAUCACAAAGAAAAUACAAAAUCGGUCGGUAAAUGACUGAGAUAUGGGCAAAAAUAGGUUGAAACGUGGCACCGGGGUUGAACGGGGUUGAAAUAGGUUGAAAUAGAGGUUUUUCGCGAAUAACUUUUGUGCCCUACGUCUGAGCACAUGGGUGUAGAAUACUUUUUGGUAGAAUUUCACGAGAUGUAACUAAAACAGAAGAAAUUUUGGAAAAAUGUUGAAAAUUCACCGAGUUACAUCGAAGAAUAGGUGCAAAUGUGAACAUUUUGUAUGGAAAACAACACUUGGUGCACCAAACUUUGUACCGCGAAUAACUUUUUUGCCCGGCAUCGGAGCGCAUUGUCGUGGAACAACUUUUUGUAGCGCGUCACGAGACGCAUCUAAUUCUGAAGAAAGAUCGAGAAAAUGUUGAAAAUUGGCCGAGUUAUGGCAGGUGAAAGAAAAAGCUUAGGUCGCGAAUAACUUUUUUGCCCGACAUCGGAGCACAUGGUCGUGGAAGACUUUUAGCUUGCAUUUGUCGAGAUCUAUCCAAAUCACAAAGAAAAUCCAAAAUCGGUCGGUAAAUGACUGAGAUAUGGGCAAAAAUAGGUUGAAACGUGGCACCGGGGUUGAACGGGGUUGAAAUAGGUUGAAAUAGAGGUUUUUCGCGAAUAACUUUUGUGCCCUACGUCUGAGCACAUGGGUGUAGAAUACUUUUUGGUAGAAUUUCACGAGAUGUAACUAAAACAGAAGAAAUUUUGGAAAAAUGUUGAAAAUUCACCGAGUUACAUCGAAGAAUAGGUGCAAAUGUGAACAUUUUGUAUGGAAAACAACAGUUGGUGCACCAAACUUUGUACCGCGAAUAACUUUUUUGCCCGGCAUCGGAGCGCAUGGUCGUGGAACAACUUUUUGUAGCGCGUCACGAGACGCAUCUAAUUCUGAAGAAAGAUCGAGAAAAUGUUGAAAAUUGACCGAGUUAUGGCAGGUGAAAGAAAAAGCUUAGGUCGCGAAUAACUUUUUUGCCCGACAUCGGAGCACAUGGUCGUGGAAGACUUUUAGCUUGCAUUUGUCGAGAUCUAUCCAAAUCACAAAGAAAAUCCAAAAUCGGUCGGUAAAUGACUGAGAUAUAGUCAAAAAUAGAAAUUGAAAUGCGAAUCGCGAGAAAUCAGCCUGAAGGUAGGCAAUUCGUAUAAGCCAUUCAAAGUAUUAGAAGCUACUUUUUCGAAUAACUUUUUCCACAGACAACUUAGCACAUCGGCGUAGAAUAACUUUUGGUAGCUGAUGAGCAGAUCUUUCCAAAUAUGUGCUACAAUUGAAGAUCCAUUGGAAACUGACCGAGUUAUAAGCAUCCAAAGUGGCAAAAUGAGGAAUUUUUUUAGAAAAAUUGAGAAAAUGUUAAGUCUUUGUACCUCAAAUAACUUUUUCCACAGACAACUUAGCACAUCGGCGUAGAAUAACUUUUGGUAGCUAAUGACCAGAUCUAUCCAAAUAUUUGCUACAAUUGAAGAUCCAUUGGAAACUGACCGAGUUAUAAGCAUCCAAAGUGGCAAAAUGAGGAAUUUUUUUGGAAAAGUUGAGAAAAUGUUAAGUCUUUGUACCUCGAAUAACUUUUUCCACAGACAACUUAGCACAUCGGCGUAGAAUAACUUUUGGUAGCUAAUGACCAGAUCUAUCCAAAUAUGUGCUACAAUUGAAGAUCCAUUGGAAACUGACCGAGUUAUAAGCAUCCAAAGUGGCAAAAUGAGGAAUUUUUUUUGGAAAAGUUGAGAAAAUGUUAAGUCUUUGUACCUCGAAUAACU